UACAAAGGGGAUUUUGCAGCUCCGUGAGUGUGACGUUUUCGCGAGUCAGGAUCUCCACCCGCGUCCGCAAGCCAGCAAAAUCAGACUUCAGCUCCGACAGGACGAAAAACAAUUCUCCCCAACGCGUCACAAUUUUGCGUCUUUUCCUCGACUUACCUGCCAACCCAAGCUACUGUUCUGUCGGAUUUCCAGCACAGCUGAGCCCGAAGGAGACAGAAAAUUAGAAAGAGAGAGAAAGGAGUAUGCUGUGUGUGCGUCGGACAUAACCUAUUCAUGUCAGUGUUUCAAAGUUCCGUGAUCGAGAUAGAAGAAAGUGUUUGUGCUCAGUGACGUUAUCGUGAAAAGGUGGAUAUUCUGUGUUUUCGAAGUGUAUUCUCCAAUUCUAUAUAACAGUGUUUCGCUUUCCACGAUUACGUGAAACGAGGAAGAUUUGCCUUGCUGUCAACUCCUUAUCUCGAAACUUGAAUUUUGAACGAUUCUUGUUUCUUUUUUUGCUUUAUCUCGAAGUUGAAGUACGCGGACAAAGAAUUCCAUUUCGCAAAAUUCGGACAAAGAAUUCCUGAUCCUGAGAUAAGCAGAGGGAGGGACGUAACAUUGGCAACCCGCACCUGGUCUGCGUCAGUCAGAAUUGAGAAUUUAAUCUCCUUCGAAACCUGACGAGAGGAUAAGGCCUCUCGAAUAAUGCUAGACUGCAUCAGUGAGAAACGAGGCCACUGCUCCUUUCGGUGAUGAUAAGCAAGUUGGAUCUUCGCGCGAUGUUGGAAAGGGAAGGUGGUCGAAAAUAAGGAAAGGAAAUGAAUCAAAAGUGAAAAGAAGGGGAAGUUUCAGACACAGUAGUAAUCAUCAGGUGCACGAGGUCCUUAUGAUAUCGUAUUUGAUCCUUAAUCCCCGCAAUUAAUUUUUGGGCAUUUUCUGUUAAAACUGCUUCGACUCCAAUCAGAUCCAUUAUUUCGAUCUGAUCAGUUUUCUUAAUUUUUUCUAUAAUUUGAAUAAUUUUGGGCCCGAAUUGAUGAGAUCUGAUUUCUGACGAGCUGCCAAGAUAAAAGCGUUUCGGAGCAGAGAAGAAAAGUGUGAGAAAAGCGGUUCGACUCAAAAAGGAAUCGAGUGUUGCGUGGAAGCUAUAUGAAAUAGCUUGUGUGUGAGGAAGAAGUGAAGCAGAGUGGCUAGGAGUGUUUAGGGGGCCCUAGGAAGGAUUUGAUGGCAGUAGUGGGGCCCAGCCGGCACUCGCGAGUGUCCAUGAGCGUGUCUAUGUCGUUGAUGCAGGGUGGUGGGGCGGGGGCUACGGGUGGUGGGGCAACGGGGGCCCACCCGGGUCAGGCUCAGGCGGUCCUUGCCGCCGCUGCAGCCGCGGCCGCAGCUCAAGCGCCCCCCACCUACUAUCAUCCAGCGGCCCCUGCACCCCCACCCCCACCGCCAACACAGGAUCCCGUCCAGCCUGAUCGACCCAUCGGUUACGGGGCCUUUGGAGUUGUCUGGGCAGUGACGGAUCCCAGAGAUGGUAGGAGAGUAGCCUUGAAGAAAUUACCGAAUGUCUUUCAAAGUCUGGUCAGCAGUAAAAGGGUCUUCAGGGAGUUGAAGAUGCUCUGCUUCUUCAAACAUGAAAACGUCCUUUCUGCGUUGGAUAUUUUGCAGCCGCCACAUCUGGACUUCUUCCAGGAAAUAUAUGUCAUCACUGAACUUCUCCAAAGCGAUUUGCACAAGAUCAUCGUGAGUCCACAGCAUCUUAGUCCAGACCACAUCAAGGUCUUCCUUUAUCAAAUCCUUCGGGGUCUGAAAUACCUUCACUCCGCCAGAAUCCUUCAUAGAGACAUCAAACCUGGGAACCUUUUAGUGAAUAGCAAUUGCGUCCUGAAGAUCUGUGAUUUUGGAUUAGCUAGGGUGGAAGAACCUGACCAAAAUAAGCAUAUGACCCAGGAAGUGGUGACGCAGUAUUACCGAGCACCGGAAAUUUUAAUGGGUGCGCGGCAUUACAGUGCUGCUGUUGAUGUUUGGAGUGUUGGUUGUAUUUUUGGUGAACUUCUUCAAAGACGAAUUCUCUUCCAAGCCCAGAGUCCUGUACAGCAGUUGGAGCUGAUCACGGAAUUGUUGGGAACGCCGACUCUCGAGGACAUGAGGUACGCCUGUGAGGGUGCCCGUUCUCAUAUGCUGAGACGCGCCCCCAAGCCACCCUCGCUCACGGCUCUUUACACCCUCAGCAACCAAGCGACACACGAGGCUGUGCAUUUGCUCUGCCAGAUGCUGGUCUUCGAUCCCGAUAAAAGGAUCACUGUGGUGGACGCUUUGGCACAUCCUUACCUCGACGAAGGACGACUGAGAUAUCACUCGUGUAUGUGCACGUGUUGCUACACGACGAGUGCUGGAAUGAGGCAGUACACGGGAGAUUUCGAGCCAGCCACGUCGCAUCCAUUUGACGAUCUCUGGGAGCGAAAGCUCACGAGCGUGCAGCAGGUCAAAGAGGAAAUGCACAAAUUUAUAGCGGAACAGCUGAACACGUCACGCGUGCCACUCUGUAUAAAUCCGCAGUCCGCGGCAUUCAAAAGUUUCGCAAGGUAAGCCGUAGGUGGAAGAUGUUCGCUUCGACAGGCACGACAAUAAGAAGUCGAUUUUAUAAUCGACUUACCUACAGCAAAAGAUCCUCCACCCAAAUCCCGUGAUAUUAAAUCCCUCAUAAAAGUACGCCUCCAAACUCUCCUCUCCUUCUUCCUUCUCACUCCCUUCCCCAAUUCGAUGAUGAUAAUGAUGAUGAUGAUGAUGAUGAUGAUGAUGAUGAUGAUGAUGAUGAUGAUGAUGAUGAUGAUGAUGAUAAUAAUAUUGACGAAAACGACGACGAUAAUAAAAACUUAAAAAUCACUGACUUCUCGAGAGGAAAAUUGCAACGCGAGUACACGUACACGCACGUUAAAGAGCUUUGAAAGAAAGAAAACUGAGUACGAAAAAAAAAAUGAUGAAGUCCGGUGCCAGACUCGAUAGUAGAGAGAAAAAAAAAUUUGUAGUCAAUCAAGACAUGCUAGAAAACGAGAAGUACCUGAAAUGAUUAGAUUGGACUGAGAGUCUAAAAAAAAUCUCUUUCCAAGUAAAGUAGAUAAACGGAAAUUCACGACUAAGGAGCAGAUUCGCUUUGUUAUAAAAUGUGCUCGUGAAUCCAUUUUUCUCUUCCCACGAUAGCGACAGACGAAAGUGUACAUGAAUACGGGCAGACGUUUGAUAUCCAGAGUAAAAAAUAAAACAGAAAAAUAAUAAAGAAAUAAUGAACGAAAGAAAGACCAAGUUUUACUGUUGUUACUCUUCGUAUGAAAGAACCGAUGACGUAUAUUGCCUGUCUGUGACGCUCUUCCCCCUCCCGACAAUUGUCUGAUGUUUAAUCGAAUUUUUACUGAUUUUGAUUGUCAUCUUGCUUACUGCCGUCAAGUUAGAGCACACAUUACCAGUACCGAAUCAGCUAUCUGCCACUGUCAGCUACCACUACUAUCGUCUACUACUACUACCGAUCGUUACGUCUCCUCCUGAAAGAACCGAUUGACCGAGAAACAGCUAUAGUCGGCACGACCUCGCUAAGAGCUCCACUGUGGCGCAUCCUUCGGAAUUGCCACCCUCUCCCCAUCAAUGGGAAUAAAAGCUUCUUCGAGUUGGAUGAAUCGUCUGCUGUCUUUUGGACUGUAUCGAAUCCGGAAGUCGACGCACAUAGCUGGACGAAUAAGCAAACUACGAAGAAGAUUCAAGAGAGACAAUAGACUGCCGAGCAAUGUAGCCUGAAAUUUUCGACUAGCUGAUAACUUGAAUUUUAGGAGAGAAACGUAGCUAAUUAACGCAAUUGCCGACUACAAUGCAAGAUAGACAAUUACAAAAUAGGGAUAUUUUCGAGAGACAGAAGCGAGAGGCUGAAUCUUUAGUUUCUAAGUCUAUGAACGAGGGAAAGGGACAAUCGAGAAAAUCCCGAGUCGAGAAUCUCGAAAGUUAGGGCCAGUUUUUAGAUUUCCUUUUUUUUAUUUUUUAUUUCUAACGCUUAAAGAAGCCUGGCAUUUGAUGACUGUGAGAAUCAAAGGUGAAGAUCUCGUACACCUCGACAAUUCUUUCUACACUAUUGUUUAAAAAGAAAGAUUCACGAUUUCGAAAAUGUGGUACCGCAAAAGUACCUCAAGAGAUAGGAAUCACAUUCUAGAAUCACUUGUCUUCUAAUCUAGAGACGAAUUUCAUGAAAAAGAAUUAGGGCUGCUUGAAUAUUUAGGUGAAUUCUGAAGAAAUUUAGAAAUAUUCUUUAAAAAUCCUUUUAAACAAAUGUUGUAUUAAAUUACCAAAAUGGUGUUCAUUUUUCAAAGAAAAAAAAAACAAACAAACAAAUAAAAAGCGAGGACAGAACUUGCAGGAUAUCUUUCUCAUAUUCAUGUUUUUUAGGAAAUUGACUAGUUUUUCUCGAAAAAUUAAUGCCACAUUGGUAAUUUUUUUUUUAAUUUCCAAGAUUCCUUAAGUUCCGAAUAUAGAGACUGCCCAAUUUCAUAUGAAGUCGGUCUGGAAGUGAAUAAAGUGUGCGAUUAAACAAUAAUAAUUAUUGUUUCGCCUGCCUGACGUGUUUAUAUGUAAAUUAUAAACUCCACUGAUCUUAAUGACGUGAAAUAUUAAGACUACCCUAAGUUAAGAAUAACAAUAGGCUAAUGGGAGGUCAAUCUGUAUUUGAAAGAAUUGAACUCUUAAUUCAAUUAGCUGUCCACAAUCGUGGCGAUCGAGGCCAAGUAAUUAUUCUAGGAAUCACGUAUUCGUUUCGCUCUCGAAAGCAUUAUGUACAGUAUGCAUUCAGUAGGUACUCGUGUCCGUCGUUUCAUAUAAUUUACGAAUUACGAUUAGGAAUUAAGAAAGGGGAGUGGGAGCAGGUGAUAUCGAAUAAUCUAGGACGAUGAAAAAAAAAA